rnacentral:rRNA from 1 species
AUUGAACGCUGGCGGCAGGCUUAACACAUGCAAGUCGAACGGAGUGGCGGACGGGUGAGUAAUGCUUGGGAAACUAGCUGAUGGAGGGGGAUAACUACUGGAAACUGUAGCUAAUACCGCAUACCAUAGGAUGUGCCCAAGUGGGAUUAGCUAGUUGGUGUGGGAAAGGCUCACCAAGCCGACGAUCCCUAACUGGUCUGAGAGGCUGACCAGACACACUGGAACGGCGACACGGUCCAGAAUCCGAAGGGAGGCAGCAGUGGGGAAUAUUGGAAAAUGGGCGAAAGCCUGAUCCAGCCAUGCCGCGUGUGGGAAGAAGGUCUUCGGAUUGUAAAGCACUUUAAGUUGGGAAGCGUUACCAACAGAAUAAGCACCGGCUAACUUCGUGCCAGCAGCCGCGGUAAUAC